rnacentral:rRNA from 1 species
UGUCAUUACAACUGGUCUGAAAUGUGUGAGUGCACCCUGCUGUUGCAGCGUCCUCAGUGUGAUAAGCAUCUUCACUGAAUCAAGUUCCUUUGGGACACGUGUGUAAUGUGGGCUCUGUGCUGGCAAACUGUCUUUGGACAAUCUUGACAAUUUGACCUCAGAUCGAGUGGGACUACCCGCUGAACUUAAGCAUAUCAAUAAGCGGAGGAAAAGAAACUAACAAGGAUUCCCCUAGUAACGGCGAGUGAAGAGGGAAAAGCUCAAAUUUUGAAUCUGGUGCCUUUGGCAUCCGAGUUGUAAUCUAGAGAAGUGUUUUCUGCCUUGGACCACACAUAAAUUCCCUGGAAUGGGGUGUCAUAGAGGGUGAGAAUCCCGUUUGUGGUGUGGACUACCUUGGCUCUGUGAUACACUCUCAACGAGUCGAGUUGUUUGGGAAUGCAGCUCAAAAUGGGUGGUAAAUUCCAUCUAAAGCUAAAUAUUGGCGAGAGACCGAUAGCGAACAAGUACCGUGAGGGAAAGAUGAAAAGCACUUUGGAAAGAGAGUGAAACAGUACGUGAAAUUGUUGAAAGGGAAGCGUUUGAAGUCAGUCACAUUGGUCAGAAUUCAGCCUGGCUUAUGCCUGGUGUACUUUCUGGCAAAUGGGUCAGCGUCAAUUUUGACCGAGGGAGAAAGACUUGAGGAAGGUGGCUGUCUUUGGGCAGUGUUAUAGCCUCUUGUUGUAAUGCUCGGUUGGGAUUGAGGAUCGCAGCACGCCUUAUGGCCGGGGUUCGCGCCCUCGGU